AUUGAACGCUGGCGGAAUGCUUUACACAUGCAAGUCGAACGGCAGCACGGACUUCGGUCUGGUGGCGAGUGGCGAACGGGUGAGUAAUGCAUCGGAACGUGCCCAAUCGUGGGGGAUAACGUAGCGAAAGUUACGCUAAUACCGCAUACGAUCUAAGGAUGAAAGCGGGGGAUCGCAAGACCUCGCGCGAAUGGAGCGGCCGAUGUUAGAUUAGGUAGUUGGUGGGGUAAAGGCUCACCAAGCCGACGAUCUAUAGCUGGUCUGAGAGGAUGAUCAGCCACACUGGGACUGAGACACGGCCCAGACUCCUACGGGAGGCAGCAGUGGGGAAUUUUGGACAAUGGGCGCAAGCCUGAUCCAGCCAUUCCGCGUGCAGGAUGAAGGCCCUCGGGUUGUAAACUGCUUUUGUACAGAACGAAAAGCUCUGGGUUAAUACCCUGGGGACAUGACGGUACUGUAAGAAUAAGCACCGGCUAACUACGUGCCAGCAGCCG
rnacentral:rRNA from 1 species